rfam:Streptococcus pneumoniae 2070335 gspj15.contig.2, whole genome shotgun sequence.
GGUAUUGUUUACCCCAUUUGAAAGGCCCCGGAACCUUCCAAAUACUUUUCGAUGGGAAGGAACACCCAUCACCGUAAACAAAAA